rnacentral:misc_RNA from 1 species
GAAAUGCGAUAAGUAAUGUGAAUUGCAGAAUUCAGUGAAUCAUCGAAUCUUUGAACGCACAUUGCGCCCGCCAGUAUUCUGGCGGGCAUGCCUGUUCGAGCGUCAUUUCAACCAUCAAGCCCCGCGCUUGUGUUGGGGACCUGCGGCUGCCGCAGGCCCUGAAAACCAGUGGCGGGCUCGCUGUCACACCGAGCGUAGUAGAUUUCUCAUCUCGCUCAGGGCGUGCUGCGGGUUCCUGCCGUAAAAAAGCCUUAUUUUACCCAAGGUUGACCUCGGAUCAGGUAGGAAGACCCGCUGAACUUAAGC